GCGCCGUCGGCCGCGCCCUCGGCAAGGACGGCAAGUUCCAGCUGUUCAUCUGUCUCAGCUUACGCGAGCACUGGCUGCACAGAAUGUUAGUCCCGAUGUCGUUGACGCGCGUGACGUCAGAAAUGUACGAAGAGCAAAGCUUCCUGCGGAAACGAGGUCUGUUAACUUUCCUCAGACAAAUUCUCGAACCUCUAGACGAGUUCGAUAUCGUUCUGGAAAAUUCUCUCACUCAAGGCAUUUAAUUACCUUUUGUCUUCUUUCCAUGUGAGAUUCAUAGAGCAAUAAAUUCAGUGGUUUUAUUAAAUACUGUUAAUAACAGGGAAUUUCGUAAUGUGCUCUCUUUUAAAAUAAAUGUUAUUUCUGUUUUUCUCUCUUUGGCAAAUACAGAAAUAAUUUCUUGUCUCUCUUUCCCUCUUAUAUCUCUAUGGAUUUCACAUGACAAAAAAUUCAAAUCGUUUAUAUCAUUGUGAAGCAAUAGUAAAAAUUAAAACUUAUAUUCAUUAAUAUCUUUUAGUUUUAUAAAAAAUGCAUAGAUUAAAGGACAAAAAUACUCAAUGAUAUUAUAAUUAAAUCCAAAGCUCAUAAUGAAGUGAUUAUAUUAUCUGUGAAAUAUUAGUUAAUAAUCUAAUCUUGCCAUCUUAUCCCAAAGAUUGCGGUACUCUUAUAAUUUGCGUUAAUCGAUUUACAAUUCGAUAAAACUAAAUUUAUCUUUUAUAUUUAUUAUUUUUUAACACAAGAAACAAAUUCGUUUUCCAGAUCUCUAUCCAUACUUGUACUUAUUUCCACCAAUUCUAUUUCAUAUUAUUUUUUUAUUACAAACAUUUUACACGUGUAUUUUACAUAAAGGAAUAAAAGGCACUUGUGCUCUUAAUUUUAAAUCAGAGGAGAUGUAUUUUUAACAAAACCAUUCCAUCUUUUUGAUUGUUUUUGCUCGAAAAUGAAAAAAAUAAUAAUUUCAUUGCCAUGGCACAUGACACAAUAGUGGUAUUUCUUAUGUUACUAACCCAAGCACAAUUAUCUGGACUUAGCUCAAACUAUAUUAGCUUCUCAGUGGA